GUGAUUCUCGUGCCUCAGCCUCCGGAGUAGCUGGGAUUACAGCCACCAUCACAAAUGAAAAAAGGAUGGAGAAGAACAAGUCUGGAUGUUGGGUUGGGGACAAUCCAACGUGGUAUGACAUCUACUUGUGGACACACUCUGCUUUCUGGUUUUUCUGUUUCUGAUUAGAAACUCAAAAACAAUAUGAGAAACAUACCUGAAAACAGCAGAAGAUCUGGAUCAUUCCGGCCAGCAAUUCAAAGUCUGCCAAAGGGAAAUCAAGUAUUGUAGAAACCUACGGGGCCUCUCAGAGCAUUUUACCAGAACUGUGGCAGGGUGACUGAUUGUGUCCUCACAGGGGAAGAAAGUCUUGUCCAAAGAUGGCGUCUACCCUGUGCUCCACUGUGUAUCCCAGAGGAGAGCAUCUUUACUGUGGAAUGGACUUCCAGCUGACUCAUGUUGGGGAAAGGAAGCAACACAGGAGCUUAAGAGGAAAAUUGAAAGAAACCACAGACCCUUUGAAAGAAGUGGCAAACUGCAGCUUACACCAUGAGCCAGGCAGAAAACUCUGAGUCCUCAGAGUGUGAAAGGAAGAGAAACUGCCUCUGGGAUAUGCACUCCCACUGGGGAACCUGGCAAUCCAGGCCACGGGGAAGACCUUAACCCUACCCAGUGCUGGAGCUGAUUUAAUGAGCUGAGGGGAGUAUAUGAGAAGGAGCAGCUUCAGGAUGUGCUUUGCUUGCACUCCUAGACUCUACUGGGGACAGAGGGAAGCCAUUCCUGAUCCUACCUCACAGAGGACCAUGCAGAAGUCAGCCAACUAGCUCAGGCGGUGGCCAUGGGCUGAGAGGAGUGAGAAGCUCCCAACUGAGAUUCACAAUAUAAUCUCUAGCAGGGAUGGACCUCCUUGACCAGAACUGAGGGGCAAGUGGGAAGUGCGCUGUGCCCACAGGUGUAGGAGCUGGGUGCCCCUGCUUCGCUAGCAGAUCAGGAGGGGCAUGGCCUGAGCAGUUUUUGUCUUGGCAGCCAGAGAAGGCUUAUGGUCUGGGACAGUUUUGAGUGCUGAAUGCAGCCUGCUUGCAACCUAGAUGGCCGCUGCCAGUAGAACACUGUGGGUCUGAGACCUGUCUUGCCAAGUGCAUAGGGGCUGAGUGGGGCUUACUGCCACCUGUACUCCCCACUUCCUGUGUGGACUCUUCUGUGCGGCAGGGGCAACUGCACUCCUCCCUGGAACAUUAUCCCAGCAUCCAGAGAACUGCCCUCUGAUCCCCACUGGGCCACUGAUUGCACCUGCACGUGGAUAGCCAGAGCGCGAACUUGCCUGACUCAGCCCCGACCUGGUUUGCCUUUUUACCCACCCUGGUAGCUUAACACAAAGGACAGAAACUUUCGGGAGUGUUAUGGACCUGCCCAUUGCUUGAGACACCAGAGUACCUCCCCUGGUCACAUAAGCCAAGCAUGAAUUCCACCACUACUACUGCAGUCAGUGCUCUUUCGCACCAACUGCACCUCCUGGCUAUAGGCCAAUCAACAUAGUCCAUUACAACAUCUGUAGGCAGAAUAACACAGCACUGGGAAGGAGAAAACUUUUGCAUGACUACAGCUACCACCAUUGCCUGCAUCACCCUGGCUAACCAGGAGGUCUUGAGUCUGUUCACAUGACCAGAUCAUUACUACUACAACUGAAAUUAGAGAAAGCCAGCACACUAAGGCUAUUUGUAACCAAAGAAUCUCACAGAGUUUACUUUACUCCUCUGCCAGCCCCAUCAGAGCUGGUGCUGGUACCCACUGCUGGGAGACUUGAGGAUAAGUCACAUCGCUGGACCCUUUGCAGACAUUCCCUAGCACAGGCCUGGAAUGUAGCAGCCCCAUUGGGUGGCCAGAUCCAGAGCCGCAGCAGCAAUCAUAGUAGUCUGGCACUCAGGGACUCCUACUCCUAGGGUAAGCAGGAGUGCACCACAUGAAGGGAGCACCCUGUGGGACAAAGGAAUCCAGAUGGCAGGCUUUGAGUCUCAGAACUUUACAAUUGUGGGAAAUUUCUUUCAGCAGAGAGACAGGUGCAGUGCUGGGCUCAGUGGGGAAGUCUGUGGCUCUACCUCACCAGUCAGGCAGCCCUGGUGCUUGUGAAGGGUCUUGGAGAAUAGGACUUCUCCCCCUCAUGCACCACUGCUGACACAGCUGGGGUUUCUCACAAAGGAACUCGGCAUGAGUGCACCUGUAGACAGCCUUUCUGGGACCCUUCAGGUGACUGCAUUCCCACAGGACAAGUGCCCUCCAGGCUCAGGCUUGUAUGAGAGGUAGAGUCACAAUUCAUCUCUACAUUCUUGCAGCUGAAAAGACGUGUCUGUCUGAAGGUCUAACAUCCAGUAUCUGUAAGGAACUUAAACAAAUUUACAAAAAACCCCUAACCCACCCCAUUAAAAAGUAGGCAAAGGAUAU
rnacentral:lncRNA from 1 species